GCUGGUUGAACCAGAAGUCGRUGACCCAACCGCAAGGAGGGAAYCGCCCAAGGUAUGACYGGUGAUUGGGGUGAAGUCGUAACAAGGUAGCCGUAGGUGAACCUGCAGAAGGAUCA
rnacentral:rRNA from 1 species